rnacentral:misc_RNA from 1 species
AACCUAGCACACCUGCGGUGUGUACCUGCGGAAGGAUCAUUACAGAGAUUGAUGCACCAAGUGCAUCACCUCCAACCCCUUGCGAAAACAACUAUCAUGUGUUGCUUUGGCAGUGUUUCCACUGCCAGAGGUUUACAUAAAAUCAGCUGUUUGGAUGUUGUCUGAGUAAACUAUAUGAAUUAUUUAAAACUUUUAACAACGGAUCU